AUACGUAGGGGGCGAGCGUUGUCCGGAAUGAUUGGGCGUAAAGGGCGCGUAGGCGGCGCGGUAAGUCUGGAGUGAAAGUCCUGCUUUCAAGGUGGGAAUUGCUUUGGAUACUGCCGCGCUUGAGUGCAGGAGAGGUUAUUGGAAUUCCCGGUGUAGCGGUGAAAUGCGUAGAGAUCGGGAGGAACACCAGUGGCGAAGGCGGGUAACUGGACUGUAACUGACGCUGAGGCGCGAAAGUGUGGGGAGCAAACAGGAUUAGAUACCCUGGUAGUCCACACUGUAAACGAUGAAUGCUAGGUGUAGGGGGUAUCGACCCCUUCUGUGCCGCAGUCAACACAAUAAGCAUUCCGCCUGGGGAGUACGGCCGCAAGGUUGAAACUCAAAGGAAUUGACGGGG
rnacentral:rRNA from 1 species